UCAGAGUUCUAUCAGUCUGAUGAACUGGUAGAUGAUGUGGCAGGGAGCAGUUUUAGGGAGAGUAACUCACCUUGUGGAAGCAUGACGAGAUAUAUGAGAAAUGCAACCUUCA